rnacentral:rRNA from 1 species
GACGAACGCUGGCGGCGUGCCUAAUACAUGCAAGUUGAGCGAUGAAGAUUGGUGCUUGCACCAAUUUGAAGAGCAGCGAACGGGUGAGUAACGCGUGGGGAAUCUGCCUUUGAGCGGGGGACAACAUUUGGAAACGAAUGCUAAUACCGCAUAAUAACUUUAAACAUAAGUUUUAAGUUUGAAAGAUGCAAUUGCAUCACUCAAAGAUGAUCCCGCGUUGUAUUAGCUAGUUGGUGAGGUAAGGGCUCACCAAGGCGAUGAUACAUAGCCGACCUGAGAGGGUGAUCGGCCACAUUGGGACUGAGACACGGCCCAAACUCCUACGGGAGGCAGCAGUAGGGAAUCUUCGGCAAUGGACGAAAGUCUGACCGAGCAACGCCGCGUGAGUGAAGAAGGGUGUCGGAUCGUAAAACUCUGUUGGUAGAGAAGAACGUUGGUGAGAGUGGAAAGCUCAUCAAGUGACGGUAACUACCCAGAAAGGGACGGCUAACUACGUG